AUGACCUCCAUAUGGCAAGAAAACACCAGAGGGAAAAAUCGCUAAAGGAAAAUGAGGUAACAAAUAGUUGUGGCUGGCGCCGCGGCUCACUAGGCUAAUCCUCCACCUGCGGCACCGGCAUACCAGGUUCUAGUCCCGGUCGGGGCGCCGGAUUCUGUCCAAGUUGCCCCUCUUCCAGGCCAGCUCUCUGCUGUGGCCCGGGAGUGCAGUGGAGGAUGGCCCAAGUGCUUGGGCCCUGCACCCCAUGGGAGACCAGGAUAAGCACCUGGCUCCUGGCUUCGGAUCAGCGCGGUGCGCCAGCCGAAGGGGCCACUGGAGGGUGAACAAAUGGAAAAAGGAAGACCUUUCUCUCUGUCUCUCUCUUUCUCACUGUCCACUCUGUCAAAAAAAAAAAAUGUGAGUUGUGAAAUUCUAUGCAAGAAGUACGGCAUCAUCAUUUAGAAAAAAAAAAAAAGUAGGUUAAGGAUAUUUUAAGAAAGAAUUUGAUUUUAGUAACAGAAUUUCCCCAUCUUUCUUUCUGAAAAUAGAAAGGAGUCUCACACUGAAAUGGAUAUGUUCUUCCUCCAACAUCAAGCUUUAGUCAAAAUGCUCCGUGUACCACUUCGACAAGUCGACUUCUUCCUGCAUCUCCAGCAAUGCUCUGCUUCCAGACCCUUAUGAAUCAGAGAGGUACUUUCCUCCUUGUGGUUUUCACCAUUUGUGUGAGGUGAAACCGCCCCAGUCGGGGGAACUAGCCUACCUCUGGGGCUCUCCUGCCCAGACCAAGCUCCUUGCAAAUGUGCCUUUUUCCUCUGCAAGUCCUCCAAGUAAAUACGCACAUAGUCUGAGCAGAGCCGUUUUGCUUCCAUGCAGAAUCUGUCCCUGUAGCAGGAUUUCUCCACCUGUCCAGCACAGCCCAGCACAGCCCAGUGGCAGUCCCGGGAUGCAAGUCUGGCUGGGAAGAAACAUGGGCCUGCCACGCCCUGUCCACGUGUGCCUUUGAUGUGGGUUAGGGUGCUUUAAUUUUUCCCUCCAGGUCCUUGCUUCCCAGAGACAAGCAUUGCAAGUACAGACACGUAUAAGAUACAAAAAAUAGGAGCAAAAUGUAUUCCAAAGGUGAGAAAGUGAACACACACAUAAGCGUGGGUUACUGCCCAUAGAGAUAGACCCAUCGUGACUGGGUGCUGGGCCAGAGGAUUGCCAGAAGGGAGGAGGGGUGGAGGGAGGGGAGACAGAGGACAUCUGGCAGCACCUCCAGCCCUGGUCUAUGCAGAGAGAGAGAGAGAGAGAGAGAGAGAGAGAGAGAGACCGACCCUGUCAGUUGACGGCCUCUUUUAAGAGGGAGGGGAUGGUGCCUCUACAGGCAUGAAGCCACCUAGGAAUUAUAUGGCACCUCCUCCCCAAGUUCCACCUGGGAGCUUAAUGUCCAUAUUUUUAUGGUAUCCUCCCUUUAGGGCCCGGAUGAAGCAGAUGCAACCCUGGAAAGGGGGCAUUUUGUUUCACAAGUUGGAGGAUAGUAUUACAAAUGGGGGCUUGUGACUUCCAGCUCAGCAGACCUAAAUGAACUUCCUGCCUACCCUGCGUCACCCUUCUUAGGGCUCCAGGGCUGCAGCUUAUGCAGCAGUCCCUCUGUCCCCUGGGGAGCACGUCACACUCGCUAAAGCUGUCCCCUACACAUCCAGAGCCCUCCUUAUCUUCCAUGCCCAGCAGAGGGGUCUGGAACCCAAGAUAAUUUCUUUAUCCACUUAAGAAAGGACAGAAGAGAAACAAAGGAGGUGUGAGACACAUAAAGAUUCCAGCUUGUAAGGGACAUAUUUCUGAUUCUGGAAGCUCACUCCCAGAGUGCCCAGCCUGUGCCAUUUCCUCUCACGCCUACGGCACAGCUGAGGUCCC
ensembl:lncRNA